rnacentral:tRNA from 3 species
GGGAAUUAGCUCAGUUGGGAGAGCGCAUGACUGGCAGUCAUGAGGUCAGGGGUUCGAAUCCCCUAUUCUCC